rnacentral:rRNA from 1 species
GAACGGGUUAUAGCUUGCUAUAAUUGUCAGCUAAGUGGCGCACGGGUGAGUAAUGUAUAGGUAAUAUGCCUCUUACUAAGGGAUAACAAAUGGAAACGUUUGCUAAUACCUUAUACUCCUUAUUAACAGAAGUUAAUAAGGGAAAGAUUUAUUGGUAAGAGAUUAGCCUGUAUUGUAUCAGUUAGUUGGUGGGGUAAUGGCUUACCAAGACUAUGACACAUAACUGGUUUGAGAGGAUGAUCAGUCACACUGGAACUGAGACACGGUCCAGACUCCUACGGGAGGCAGCAGUGGGGAAUAUUGCACAAUGGACGAAAGUCUGAUGCAGCAACGCCGCGUGGAGGAUGACACAUUUCGGUGCGUAAACUCCUUUUAUAUGAGAAGAUAAUGACGGUAUUAUAUGAAUAAGCACCGGCUAACUCCGUGCCAGCAGCCGCGGUAAUACGGGGGGUGCAAGCGUUACUCGGAAUCACUGGGCGUAAAGAGCAUGUAGGCGGAUUAAUAAGUUUGAAGUGAAAUCCUAUAGCUUAACUAUAGAACUGCUUUGAAAACUGUUAAUCUAGAAUGUGGGAGAGGUAGAUGGAAUUUCUGGUGUAGGGGUAAAAUCCGUAGAGAUCAGAAGGAAUACCGAUUGCGAAGGC